rnacentral:lncRNA from 10 species
UAUCCACUGAUUGCUUCAGAUGUGAAGGGACAGCCAGGCCGGGACAAAAGGGAUUCCCACCCAGGGUGCGCGCAGCUUCUGUGGCCGAGGUGGCUGCUGCUUACGGCCCGCCUUCCCUUCACCGCAGGCCUCUCUCCCUCCCUCCUUCCCUCCUUCCCUCCUUCCCUCUUGCGUUUUUCUUUAAAAUGUAGUUUAUUAGAAGCGCACUCUGUUUGAAUUUGGCAGUGUGGAGUUGUGUAUAGCAUGGAACCUUUUCUUUAUGCAUCGAUGGUCAUGUGUCAUGAAAUGUUUUCUUGGGAUGAGUCAUCAAGACAAUGCAAUGACCAUGAAAGUCUAAUAUCACAUUAUUGGCAGAGUGCCAGUCUUCCGAAGAGUCCAUGGGGUCUAAUUCCAUGCGUUCUAUCCUGGAGGAAGACGAGGAAGACGAGGAGCCACCAAGAGUCCUUUUAUACCACGAACCACGUUCGUUUGAAGUAGGAAUGCUAGUCUGGCAUAAACAUAAAAAAUACCCCUUCUGGCCAGCAGUGGUCAAAAGCGUCAGGCAGAGAGAUAAGAAAGCAAGUGUGCUAUACAU